rnacentral:rRNA from 1 species
AUGGACUGCCACGACUCUGACCCGCACGCCCUCGCGCUCCACAUGUCCACCAAACUCAACAACUACAACAUCAUCUAUCUCCACAUGGUCGAGCCGAGGAUGGCCAUCGUUGAUGGACGAAGGGUGGUCCCGAAGCGCUUGCUGCCAUACAGGGAGGCGUUCAAGGGUACAUUUAUGGCCAAUGGCGGGUACGACCGCGAGGAAGGGGGCAAGGUGGUCGCUGAUGGGUACACUGAUUUGGUCUCCUUCGGGCGAUCGUUCUUGGCGAAUCCAGACCUGCCAAAGAGGUUUGAGAUCGGCGCAGAGCUGAACAAGUAUGAUAGGAUGACCUUCUACAUCUCUGACCCCGUCAUCGGCUACACUGACUACCCCUUCCUCGAUUAA